UUACACAUGCAAGUCGAACGGCAGCACGGACUUCGGUCUGGUGGCGAGUGGCGAACGGGUGAGUAAUACAUCGGAACGUGCCUAGUAGUGGGGGAUAACUACUCCAAAGAGUGGCUAAUACCGCAUGAGAUCUACGGAUGAAAGCAGGGGAUCGCAAGACCUUGUGCUACUAGAGCGGCUGAUGGCAGAUUAGGUAGUUGGUGGGAUAAAAGCUUACCAAGCCGACGAUCUGUAUCUGGUCUGAGAGGACGAUCAGCCACACUGGGACUGAGACACGGCCCAGACUCCUACGGGAGGCAGCAGUGGGGAAUUUUGGACAAUGGGCGCAAGCCUGAUCCAGCAAUGCCGCGUGCAGGAUGAAGGCCUUCGGGUUGUAAACUGCUUUUGUACGGAACGAAAAGCUUCGGGCUAAUACCCUGGAGUCAUGACGGUACCGUAAGAAUAANCACCGGCUAACUACGUGCCAGCAGC
rnacentral:rRNA from 1 species